GAUCCCGGCCGCGAAGGCUCGGUUCCAGACCAGGAUUCGAUGUCCCAGUGGCCCGCAGGUAAAGGCGUAUUGGCGAAGUCUUGGGGCGGAGUUGCGGGUUUUGGAGAGCUCUGCACACAUCAGCAGAGAUUUGGGUCUGUCCUUCAUGUCCUUACUGGAUUUUAACCAAAUUUCCGUGUAUUUUUGGCAGCUCUUCGGAGUUAGUAGCUUAUGAUCGUGCUACCUCACCAUUUCACAGACAUUUGAGAUUUUUUUCUGUAUUUUGGGUUCUCUGUCGUUUCAUUUGGCCUUAGGGAUGGAGGCAUAGUGGGUAUGUGUUCACACAUCCGCUCUUGGAAAGUCUUUACCUCGUUUUUCUUAGCAAAAACAAUUUUCCAUAAUAUGAAUCUACCUUAGUUUUUAAACCAGUCAUGUGAGAAAAUGGUUAUCUUUUCCCUAAUUUUUUGCUCUUACACAUAUGCUGCAACAAAAAUUCUUACUUAUUUUCCUGCAAAGCAUUAUCGUAGGACAUACCUUUGUUGAUAAAAGAUCACAUUGCCCUCCCAAAAGCUUUGUCCCAAUGUAUAGUCCCACCGCAGUGUGUGUUUGUGUUUACAUCUCCACAACUGGUUGAAUGUCCCAACCUUUUUAAUCUUUGCAGAAUCAGUGGAUGAAAACUGUAUUUCACUAACCUUUAAAUUUUUAUUUCGUUGGUGACUGAAAAUUUUUUGUUGGUUACCUGUUUUCUUCUGAGAAUUAAUUACUGGUUGUGUUUCUCUUAGUGGUAGUAUAACUUCAUGCUAUUAUUGCUGUUGUAGCUACCAUUUAGAAUUAACAAUAAUUACAGAAUUAAUAAAUAAGAUUUCAUAAUAGUUUCAGGUAUUUUCAAAAUUAAACUUUUUAUGUUGAGAUAAUGAUAGAUUUGCUACCGGGGUUUUUGUUCGUGGAGUCAAAGAAUGAACUUCACAAAUGCUCAAGGUAGGCAAGCAGGAGAAAAGGUUUUUAUUCAGAGAAAAGAAAGUACAGAACUCCCAGCGCAUGCCAGGAAGGGCAAGGCUGCCAUUUACGGGCUCAGGUCUAGGAGUUUUGUGCCUGUUGCAUCGGCAAGGGAGACAAGCUAUCUGUUGUCUGUAGAUUCACUCCAGAAUGCUAGCUAUGUUUUCACUAAUCACAUUUAAGUUCACUUUUAUUUUAAUCUCGUAGGCUUACGUGACUCUUGUCAGCAAACUUCCAUAUCACUGAGUUUUGGGUGGAAUUUCCCUGUAUAUUGUUUUAACCACAGGCAUCUUUUUUCCUUUAGAUUCCUGAACACUCAGCAAGGUUUUUCCAUGGGCCUGUAUCCUACUCUAACUGGACAGGUGUUGCCCCCAGUCAUUUCCCUGUCUCACUCACCCCUCUACAGACGCAGAAUUAGGGCGUUGGGCGAUGACAGCUCUAACUGCUUCAGGCUGAGAGGGGGUGAAGUGGAGUGUACAGUCAGGUCUCCGUCACUGGCUGAUCAAGAGGGCCUUGGAAAAUGGAUGUUUCCAUCACCAUCUGUAGUUUCAUGGCUUCUAGACUAAACAAGAGUGGUGUUUGGAGGAUUUGGAAAUUUUAUGGAAAGCGAAAGUAAACUCAGCACCUUACUGUAGGUGGCGGUCUAGAACGCAACCAGAUUCAAGACCCUGGACAGCACCCAGCGCAGGAUCCCUGCGUCUGAGCCGUCCUCACCUCUGCCUCUACACAGCUCUGUCCAAGCCCCUGGUGAAGAACUAGUUCUCAAACCCAAAGAUACUUUUCAACCCUUGGCUAAUUGACCUUUCUAAGGCUUUUGCCUUUUGUGAAAAACCUGCAUCUGUCAUUUUUUAAAACAUCAUUCCCAAUGAAGGAAUAAAAUGGUUCCCCAGAAUUGCCAAGGGGUCACACCGUUAAAAGGAGGGCACAAUUCCUGGUAGCUAAUACAUAUUAUUAAUCUGAGAACACCGUACUGACAUUGCUCCUUUGGUUUUGAGUGGGCUCUGAGAGGGUAAGAGACAGAUGUCAUUCAUUUUUGUGUCCAACAUGUACCAUAAGGCAUGACCCAGAGGGUCUGUGCACACAAACACCAACCGCUUAGUAGCUGGGUGACUCGGAGCAAGUUAUUAUCAACUUCUGUUUGCUAUUGUCACAGCUAUUAAACUGGAAUAACAUAGAGUCACUCACAGAAGUUUUAAAGAUUCUCUCGGUUAAUGCACUCCUCUAAGUGAUUAGAACAGUGCUUGGCACAUUAGAAUGAAAGAUA